rnacentral:rRNA from 1 species
GUUGAACGCUGGCGGCAGGCUUAACACAUGCAAGUCGAGCGGAGAUGAGGUGCUUGCACCUUAUCUUAGCGGCGGACGGGUGAGUAAUGCUUAGGAAUCUGCCUAUUAGUGGGGGACAACAUUCCGAAAGGAAUGCUAAUACCGCAUACGUCCUACGGGAGAAAGCAGGGGAUCUUCGGACCUUGCGCUAAUAGAUGAGCCUAAGUCGGAUUAGCUAGUUGGUGGGGUAAAGGCCUACCAAGGCGACGAUCUGUAGCGGGUCUGAGAGGAUGAUCCGCCACACUGGGACUGAGACACGACCCAGACUCCUACGGGAGGCAGCAGUGGGGAAUAUUGGACAAUGGGGGGAACCCUGAUCCAGCCAUGCCGCGUGUGUGAAGAAGGCCUUAUGGUUGUAAAGCACUUUAAGCGAGGAGGAGGCUACUGAGACUAAUACUCUUGGAUAGUGGACGUUACUCGCAGAAUAAGCACCGGCUAACUCUGUGCCAGCAGCCGCCGUAAUAC